rnacentral:lncRNA from 1 species
CUCAUUUUUAUCAGACCCAACUAUUUUCAUCAUGCUGUGGCAAUUAAUUGGAUUAUUUUCGUUUAAAGAUCCAAGCCUGCAAGAUAAGUGGAAUGGAACAGAAUUGUUUUCCUUUCCCUGCUCUCCCUCAUUAGUAGUCUAAACAAGUGUGAGGCUGCAUUAAGUUUGUAGCUAUUUUGUUAGCUUGAAAUCACUUUCUUCUCUUCUGCAGAUGGAGACUGUUUAGACCAUUAUAUUCCAGGAUGCAGUUGUGGUAUAUUAAAAGUGAAAAGGCUACUUACAGAAUUUAUGCUUGCAAUUACCUUGAUAGUGAACAAGGAGUGCAACAAAAUAACCUCUGAAAACUCUCGCUGGAAUGCCAAAGCGUUUGGGAAGCUGCCAGAGCUGUUAGUGCUUCAUCUGGAAACCUUCAGAGGGUCACUUUUGGGAUGAAUGGGAGAAGGUACGUGUUCUUUAUUGACAUUAAAACUUCAGAAUGCCAGAGGUUUUGCUUGGUUAGGCCAGUACACUUACAUCUUCAUGUGCCAGAUUCAAUUACAGACUGUGUGUGGAUGUGUUUCUAGCUAGGACAGAUAAACGGACAGGGAUCCCACAAUAUUCCUGUCAACUGAGAACUGAUUCUUGAUAGUUUAUCAAGACUUCACCUGCAAAACAAUUCAUCUUCUCCUAAAAAUGGGUUAAUUUUCUGUAUAUUUAUAGUGAUUGUGUGAGACAUGGAAAAACUGGCUCUUAAACUCCCAUUUCAAAUGAGAAUUACACUUUGGUUUUGAAAUGUUUUGCCUAGAAUCUCCUGCUUCACAUUAGGUGCUGAAGGUAGCUAAGCCAAUUUGCAAAUCCAGCUCAUUUCAGAACUGACC